AGCAGCCGCCACGGGAAUACAGAGGGUGCGAGCGUUAAUCGGAUUUACUGGGCGUAAAGCGUGCGUAGGCGGCUAAUUGAGUCGGAUGUGAAAUCCCCGAGCUUAACUUGGGAAUUGCAUUCGAUACUGGUUAGCUAGAGUGUGGGAGAGGAUGGUAGAAUUCCAGGUGUAGCGGUGAAAUGCGUAGAGAUCUGGAGGAAUACCGAUGGCGAAGGCAGCCAUCUGGCCUAACACUGACGCUGAGGUACGAAAGCAUGGGGAGCAAACAGGAUUAGAUACCCGCGUAGUCCCUGUCUCUUAUAA
rnacentral:rRNA from 1 species